UCAAAGGCUCUUUUCAGAGCCACUCACUUUUCCACGUUAAGAGUUGU
rfam:Equus caballus chromosome 20, whole genome shotgun sequence.